rnacentral:lncRNA from 1 species
AGAAUCCUCAUCCAAAUUAGGACCUUUGUAUGGGCUACGGAGCAAUGUGACGCUCGAUCUUCGUGAAGGAUUUUGUGUGUUGUAAUUGGGACUUGUUAAUUGGGUCUUAUAGUUGAUAUUCUGUGAUGAGCUUGCAGCCGGAUGCUCACCUGAUUUGUGGUUUUGCUGUGAAGAAAAUCUGAAUUACUUUUGGAAAAAAAAUAAUCUGGAAGGAUUGGUAACAUUCUCGCUGUUUGAACAGAUAUCAGCUUCAUUGAUUUCCUGUGCUGCAUCAGUGGGGAUGGGCCUGCUUUUCACUUGGCUGUUGUCUAUGCCGUGGGUAUGGGCCUGCUUUUCACUUGGCUGUUGUCUAUGCCUAAUAUAAAGCCACAUAUGGGUACCUUAAUGAGUGUAACACAGGACCAUAGAAAAAAUAGUGUUAUGUAGUGCCGAUGAGUGUUAUACCAUAUCAGGAAAUAUAUUCAUGUGCAUUGUUAUUGUCGUCUCUCCAUCGUGCUAUUAUUUUGGUCUCAAGUCUCUCAAAUGAUUGGUGUUAAUGAGAUUCAGCUAGUUUGAACAGGUACCUGAGAUAAUGGAUUUUGAGAUUUUCUCGCUUCUCCAUUUGACAUUUUGUACAUUUCACUUGUCAUGCUCAUGUGUAUACCACUAGUGUAGGGUUGCAUUGCUCCAUGUGUUGUCUUCCAUCAUUUUUCACAGUGCAGUGUCUUGAAUAAAUCAUGAUGUUCUCCAUCAACUUGCCUUGAUACCAGCAUGGCUUGUUGACAUAGUGCAGCAGAGCUUUUAGUAAGCCUCUAAAGAGGUGCGUGGUAUGGAAUAGCUAUUCUUGUUGAAAAUAG